GUUCCUGCACCUGGACCAGUGAGCGAGAUGCUCAGAUGUGAAACCUGCCGCCUGCCAGAACCUGGCCGAGACUGUGGACAAAGCUGCUGGACACUGGAAAAUUGAUUGCACCCCUUUGCCUAGACAAAACAAGACAUCUGAAUAUCAGUUGCUGACUACAGACUGUUCUAAGACUGCGAGCCCUGGACUUGCUGUGAAUGUGAACCAGUUCAGCUGAUAUGGACACCCCCUGUCUCUGCAACAGUGUCUGCUAACCAGAAGCCCCUGAUGGAUUCCCCAUUGCCUAAAUUCCUUUUUGCUUUUGACUAGCAUUUCAACCUUCUGGGGUCCCUAACUUCGUCCCAAAGUCAGCAGGAAGCAGUUUAGAAAAGAAUUUCGGCGUCCAUUUUCCCUGGUUAAAAUGCUAAGUCAAAAGGAACUCCCUUGCAUGGGGAUGACAGUAUCUAUCACUCCCUGAUGGGGAUGCUAGAGAGACAGCAAUUCCAUGAUUGGAAUUUCCAGAAAAGAAAAUGGGG
rnacentral:lncRNA from 1 species